CUCCCUGGUACCAUACCCCAGCCGAUGAGAAGGCCCAGAACCAGCCUGAUGUCAGGAUCAGAACAAAAGAGGAGGACUGCAUAUGUAUGGACCCACUCCAGAUGGCACGGGGACGGGGGGGAGUAGGAAAAGUGGCAUGAUGAGGGAAUGGAGGCACAGACUGAUUAGAAAACCAGCUCAAGGUCAUGUUGCUGCUCUCUCAUUCCUGUUGAGGGCUCUCUGGUGGAGCCUGUCUCACAGGCCACCUGCAGGCCAACACUCCCAGAAGCAGCUAGCACCAUGGUUGACCUCGUCCAGGUCCAGGGAAGGCCUCCCUCUCCAGGACUCCUUUAGAUUUCCCCAGCAUCCAGACCUCACCUGCCAAAGUGCCGUAGCCCUGGAAGCCACACAGUGAGCACGAGCUCCAUCUUGCACCUUUACCAGCCGAUGAGGGUAAAGACAUUAGCUGGGAAGCCUGAGACCACAGCUACUGCCUUGAAUCAGAAGCCCCAGCCUCAUCAUCUGGGGCCAGAGAACUAGGGCGGGAGGAGCCAAGUAGCGCAGCAGGAAGUGUGAGUCUCUCGGAGGAGAAGCUGGUCUCUGAGAGGAGCACAAAAUGCAGCAGGCUGGAUAAGGU
rnacentral:antisense_RNA from 1 species